rnacentral:misc_RNA from 1 species
GAUGAAGAACGUAGCGAAAUGCGAUAAGUAAUGUGAAUUGCAGAAUUCAGUGAAUCAUCGAAUCUUUGAACGCACAUUGCGCCCGCCAGUAUUCUGGCGGGCAUGCCUGUUCGAGCGUCAUUUCAACCAUCAAGCCCCCCGGCUUGUGUUGGGGACCUGCGGCUGCCGCAGGCCCUGAAAAGCAGUGGCGGGCUCGCUGUCACACCGAGCGUAGUAGAUCUCAUCUCGCUCAGGGCGUGCUGCGGGUUCCGGCCGUUAAACCACCUUCAUAACCCAAGGUUGACCUCGGAUCAGGUAGGAAGACCCGCUGAACUUAAGCAUAUCAAUAAGGAGGA